UACGUAGGCAGCAAGCGUUGUUCGGAAUUACUGGGCGUAAAGAGUGUGUAGGCGGUGCUCCAAGUCUGGUGUGAAAUCUCCCGGCUCAACUGGGAGGGUGCGCUAAGAACUGGAUGCUAGAGGAUGGGAGAGGUAAGCGGAAUUCCUGGUGUAGCGGUGAAAUGCGUAGAUAUCAGGAGGAACACCUGUGGUGUAGACAGCUUACUGGACCAUUUCUGACGCUGAGACACGAAAGCGUGGGUAGCAAACAGG
rnacentral:rRNA from 1 species